ACCCGCUGAACUUAAGCAUAUCAAUAAGCGGAGGAAAAGAAGCCAACAGGGAUUGCCCUAGUAACGGCGAGUGAAGCGGCAACAGCUCAAAUUUGAAAUCUGGCUCUUUUAGAGUCCGAGUUGUAAUUUGCAGAGGGCGCUUUGGCUUUGGCAGCGGUCCAAGUUCCUUGGAACAGGACGUCACAGAGGGUGAGAAUCCCGUACGUGGUCGCUGGCUAUUGCCGUGUAAAGCCCCUUCGACGAGUCGAGUUGUUUGGGAAUGCAGCUCUAAAUGGGAGGUACAUUUCUUCUAAAGCUAAAUAUUGGCCAGAGACCGAUAGCGCACAAGUAGAGUGAUCGAAAGAUGAAAAGCACUUUGGAAAGAGAGUCAAACAGCACGUGAAAUUGUUGAAAGGGAAGCGCUUGCAGCCAGACUUGCUUACAGUUGCUCAUCCGGGCUUUUGCCCGGUGCACUCUUCUGUAGGCAGGCCAGCAUCAGUUUGGGCGGUAGGAUAAAGGUCUCUGUCACGUACCUCUCUUCGGGGAGGCCUUAUAGGGGAGACGACAUACUACCAGCCUGGACUGAGGUCCGCGCAUCUGCUAGGAUGCUGGCGUAAUGGCUGU
rnacentral:rRNA from 1 species